AUGUGCUUUCAGAUCUCUACUAUCACUACUAACACUCGGAGAGCACGCUAUGUACGUCGCAGGAAGGCCUGUCUGACAAACCUACGCCAUGUCCCUCUGACCUCCACUACUACGCUCUCUAUUCCAGUUGGUCUCUGGUACUGCCAGUCUGCAGUUAACAAAGCAGACUUCAUUUCUUCUAUUGCUACUCAUUCCGGUCUCAACCUCAUGGCACUGACAGAGACUUGGAUCAAACCUGAAGAUACUGCCACCCCUGCAGCCCUCUCCACUAAUUUCACUUGUUCCCACACUCCUCGUACCACUUGGAGGGGUGGAGGUAUGGGUCUCCUUAUAUCCAAAGAAUGGAAAUUUGAUCUUCAGCAAUCACCUACAGGUACUGGUUCAUUUGAAUCACAUGCCAUUACUGUAACCCACCCUGUUAAAAUCCACUUUGUGGUCAUUUAUCGUCCCCCAGGUCAACUGGGAAACUUCUUGGAAGAGGUGGAUGUGCUGCUAUCAAACUUUCCUGAAGAUGGUACUCCUCUGGUACUGCUUGGUGACUUCAACAUCCACCUAGAUAAACCCCAGGCUGCUGACUUCAAAACUCUGCUCACCUCAUUUGAUCUCAAGCUAGUGUCUACUACAGCGACUCACAAAUCAGGCAACCAACUGGACCUCAUCUACACGCGCUGUUGCUCUGUGGACACCUCUUCAGUUGCUCCACUGCACACCUCUGACCACUUCCUCAUUACUGCUAACCUAGCACUUACUCCUGAAGUGGCACACACUCCAACGCAGGUCACCUUUCGACGGAACCUAUGCUCACUCUCUCCAUCUCGCCUAUCUGCUCUGGUUUCAUCCUCUCUUCCACCACUCUCUCAGUUUUCUGCUCUGGACACGAACAGUGCUACGGACACUCUUUGCUCCACUUUAACAUCUAGCUUGGACAACUUUUGCCCACUGUUGUCUAGACCAGCACACACUGCUCCAUCUGCCCCCUGGCUGUCCGAGGUUCUCCGUGAACAUCGCUCUAAACUGAGGGUUGCAGAGAGGAAAUGGCAGAAAUCAAAAAACUCUACGGACCUCAGUGUGUAUCAAUCUCUCCUCUCUUCCUUCUCUGCAAAUUUUUUCACAGCUAAAACAUCCUACUACCGCAACAAAAUUAACAGCUGCUGUGAUGCUCGGACACUCUUCAAGACUUUCUCUUCUCUUUUAAUCCGCCGCCUCCACCUCCUCCAUCGACUCUUACAGCGGACGACUUUGCAGCUUUUUUCACAAAUAAGACAAGAUCCAUCAGUGACCAAUUCUCCCCACUGCAGACUGAGGACAACUUCACAAUGA
rnacentral:lncRNA from 1 species